rnacentral:rRNA from 1 species
UACGAAGGGGGCUAGCGUUGCUCGGAAUCACUGGGCGUAAAGCGCACGUAGGCGGAUUGUUAAGUCAGGGGUGAAAUCCUGGAGCUCAACUCCAGAACUGCCUUUGAUACUGAGAGCUUGAGUCCGGGAGAGGUGAGUGGAACUGCGAGUGUAGAGGUGAAAUUCGUAGAUAUUCGCAAGAACACCAGUGGCGAAGGCGGCUCACUGGCCCGGUACUGACGCUGAGGUGCGAAAGCGUGGGGAGCAAACAGGG